CAGGAAGAGUGAAAUGGAGAGAGAGAGAGUAAGAACUAGAGAAAGAGGGAGGCAGGAAUAGUGAAAUGGAGAGAGAGAGAGUAAGAACUAGAGAAAGAGGGAGGCAGGAAUAGUGAAAUGGAGAGAGAGAGAGAAAAAGAACUAGAGAAAGAGAGAGACAGGAAUAGUGAAAUGGAGAGAAAGAGAGUAAGAACUAGAGAAAGAGAGAGACAGGAAUAGUGAAAUGGAGAGAGAGAGAGAGAGAGAGAGAGAGAGAGUAAGAACUAGAGAAAGAGAGAGACAGGAAUAGUGAAAUGGAGAGAGAGAGAGAGUAAGAACUAGAGAAAGAGAGAGACAGGAAUUGUGAAAUGGAGAGAGAGAGAGAGAGAGAAAGAACUAGAGAAAGAGAGAGACAGGAAUAGUGAAAUGGAGAGAGAGAGAGUAAGAACUAGAGAAAGAGGGAGGCAGGAAUAGUGAAAUGGAGAGAGAGAGAGAGUAAGAACUAGAGAAAGAGAGAGACAGGAAGAGUGAAAAGGAGAGAGAGUAAGAACUAGAGAAAGAGAGAGACAGGAAUAGUGAAAUGGAGAGAGAGAGAGUAAGAACUAGAGAAAGAGAGAGACAGGAAGAGUGAAAAGGAGAGAGAGUAAGAACUAGAGAAAGAGAGAGACAGGAAGA
ensembl:lncRNA